GACGGGGCCCGCACAAGCGGAGGAGCAUGUGGUUUAAUUCGAUGAUACGCGAGGAACCUUACCUGGGCUUGAACGUAAGAUGACUGUAGGUGAAAGCUUACAUCUCUUCGGAGCAUUUUACGAGGUGCUGCAUGGUUGUCGUCAGCUCGUGCCGUGAGGUGUCGGGUUAAGUCCCAUAACGAGCGCAACCCUACCUUUAGUUGCCAUCAGGUAAUGCUGGGGACUCUAAAGGAACUGCCUACGCAAGUAGUGAGGAAGCGGGGAUGACGUCAAAUCAGCACGGCCCUUACGUCCAGGGCUACACACGUGCUACAAUGGCCGAUACAGAGGGCAGCUACCUGGUGACAGGAUGCAAAUCUCCAAAGUCGGUCUCAGUUCGGAUUGGAGUCUGAAACCCGACUCCAUGAAGUUGGAAUCGCUAGUAAUCGCGCAUCAGCAUGGCGCGGUGAAUACGUUCCCGGGCCUU
rnacentral:rRNA from 1 species